rnacentral:rRNA from 1 species
GACGAACGCUGGCGGCGUGCCUAAUACAUGCAAGUCGAGCGAACGGACGAGAAGCUUGCUUUUCUGAUGUUAGCGGCGGACGGGUGAGUAACACGUGGAUAACCUACCUAUAAGACUGGGAUAACUUCGGGAAACCGGAGCUAAUACCGGAUAAUAUUUUGAACCGCAUGGUUCAAAAGUGAAAGACGGUCUUGCUGUCACUUAUAGAUGGAUCCGCGCUGCAUUAGCUAGUUGGUAAGGUAACGGCUUACCAAGGCAACGAUGCAUAGCCGACCUGAGAGGGUGAUCGGCCACACUGGAACUGAGACACGGUCCAGACUCCUACGGGAGGCAGCAGUAGGGAAUCUUCCGCAAUGGGCGAAAGCCUGACGGAGCAACGCCGCGUGAGUGAUGAAGGUCUUCGGAUCGUAAAACUCUGUUAUUAGGGAAGAACAUAUGUGUAAGUAACUGUGCACAUCUUGACGGUACCUAAUCAGAAAGCCACGGCUAACUACGUGCCAGCAGCCGCGGUAAUACGUAGGUGGCAAGCGUUAUCCGGAAUUAUUGGGCGUAAAGCGCGCGUAGGCGGUUUUUUAAGUCUGAUGUGAAAGCCCACGGCUCAACCGUGGAGGGUCAUUGGAAACUGGAAAACUUGAGUGCAGAAGAGGAAAGUGGAAUUCCAUGUGUAGCGGUGAAAUGCGCAGAGAUGUGGAGGAACACCAGUGGCGAAGGCGACUUUCUGGUCUGUAACUGACGCUGAUGUGCGAAAGCGUGGGGAUCAAACAGGAUUAGAUACCCUGGUAGUCCACGCCGUAAACGAUGAGUGCUAAGUGUUAGGGGGUUUCCGCCCCUUAGUGCUGCAGCUAACGCAUUAAGCACUCCGCCUGGGGAGUACGACCGCAAGGUUGAAACUCAAAGGAAUUGACGGGGGCCCGCACAAGCGGUGGAGCAUGUGGUUUAAUUCGAAGCAACGCGAAGAACCUUACCAAAUCUUGACAUCCUUUGACAACUCUAGAGAUAGAGCCUUCCCCUUCGGGGGACAAAGUGACAGGUGGUGCAUGGUUGUCGUCAGCUCGUGUCGUGAGAUGUUGGGUUAAGUCCCGCAACGAGCGCAACCCUUAAGCUUAGUUGCCAUCAUUAAGUUGGGCACUCUAAGUUGACUGCCGGUGACAAACCGGAGGAAGGUGGGGAUGACGUCAAAUCAUCAUGCCCCUUAUGAUUUGGGCUACACACGUGCUACAAUGGACAAUACAAAGGGCAGCGAAACCGCGAGGUCAAGCAAAUCCCAUAAAGUUGUUCUCAGUUCGGAUUGUAGUCUGCAACUCGACUACAUGAAGCUGGAAUCGCUAGUAAUCGUAGAUCAGCAUGCUACGGUGAAUACGUUCCCGGGUCU